rnacentral:rRNA from 1 species
UCUGGUGACCAAAGCGGAAGGGCUACACCUGUUCCCAUCCCGAACACAGCAGUUAAGCCUUCCAGCGGCCAUGGUACUGCCGGGGUAACCCGGUGGGAGAGUAGCUCGUUGCCAGAC